rnacentral:rRNA from 1 species
UACGUAGGUGGCAAGCGUUAUCCGGAAUUAUUGGGCGUAAAGCGCGCGCAGGUGGUUUCUUAAGUCUGAUGUGAAAGCCCACGGCUCAGCCGUGGAGGGUCAUUGGAAACUGGGAGACUUGAGUGCAGAAGAGGAAAGUGGAAUUCCAUGUGUAGCGGUGAAAUGCGUAGAGAUAUGGAGGAACACCAGUGGCGAAGGCGACUUUCUGGUCUGUAACUGACACUGAGGCGCGAAAGCGUGGAGAGCAAACAGG